GAAAUGCGAUAAGUAAUGUGAAUUGCAGAAUUCCGUGAAUCAUCGAAUCUUUGAACGCACAUUGCGCCCUCUGGUACUCCGGGGGGCAUGCCUGUCCGAGCGUCAUUGCGAACCCCUCAAGCACGGCUUGUGUGAUGGGCCCUCCCGCGUCUUGGUCGUCAAGACGGGCCCGAAAAGCAGUGGCGGCUUCGCGGUUAUCCGAUCAGCCAGAGCGUAUGGGGACUUUCUCUCUGUCACACGCCCGCGGCGCUGACCGACGCCUGUCGACCUUUAUUCAUCUUUUUCUCGGUUGACCUCGGAUCAGGUAGGGAUACCCGCUGAACUUAAGC
rnacentral:misc_RNA from 1 species